rnacentral:rRNA from 1 species
CAGCCGCCGCGGUAAUACGAGGGGGGCAAGCGUUGUUCGGAUUUAUUGGGCGUAAAGGGUGCGUAGGCGGUUUGGCAAGUCUUGUGUGAAAUCUUCGGGCUCAACCCGAAGCCUGCACGAGAAACUACCGGGCUUGAGUAUUGGAGAGGUGAGUGGAAUUUCCGGUGUAGCGGUGAAAUGCGUAGAUAUCGGAAGGAACACCUGUGGCGAAAGCGGCUCACUGGACAAUAACUGACGCUGAUGCACGAAAGCCAGGGGAGCAAACGGGAUUAGAUACCCCCGUAGUCCCUGUCUCUUAUAC